rnacentral:rRNA from 1 species
AGUCUGAUCAGCCAUGCCGCGUGGAGGAUGAAGGUCCUCUGGAUUGUAAACUUCUUUUAUCUGGGAAGAAACCCAUAUUUUCUAGUAUGGUUGACGGUACCAGACGAAUAAGCACCGGCUAACUCCGUGCCAGCAGCCGCGGUAAUACGGAGGGUGCAAGCGUUAUCCGGAUUCACUGGGUUUAAAGGGUGCGUAGGUGGGUUGGUAAGUCCGGGGUGAAAUCCCCGAGCUUAACUUGGGAACUGCCAUGGAUACUAUCAGCCUUGAAUGUCGUGGAGAUGAGCGGAAUAUGUCAUGUAGCGGUGAAAUGCUUAGAUAUGACAUAGAACACCAAUUGCGAAGGCAGCUCGUUACGCGAAUAUUGACACUGAUGCACGAAAGCGUGGGGGAUCAAACAGGAUUAGA